rnacentral:rRNA from 1 species
GACGAACGCUGGCGGCGUGCUUAACACAUGCAAGUCGAACGGUAAGGCCCUUCGGGGUACACGAGUGGCGAACGGGUGAGUAACACGUGGGUGAUCUGCCCUGCACUUCGGGAUAAGCCUGGGAAACUGGGUCUAAUACCGGAUAGGACCCUGGGAUGCAUGUCCUGGGGUGGAAAGCUUUUGCGGUGUGGGAUGGGCCCGCGGCCUAUCAGCUUGUUGGUGGGGUGAUGGCCUACCAAGGCGACGACGGGUAGCCGGCCUGAGAGGGGGACCGGCCACACUGGGACUGAGAUACGGCCCAGACUCCUACGGUGGGCAGCAGUGGGGAAUCUUGCGCAAUGGGCGAAAGCCUGACGCAGCAACGCAGCGUGCGGGAAGAAGGCUUUAGGGUUGUAAACCGCUUUCAGCAGGGAAGAAAAUGACGGUACCUGCAGAAGAAGGUGCGGCCAACUACGUGCCAGCCGCCGCCGUAA